UACGGAGGGUGCAAGCGUUAUCCGGAUUUACUGGGUUUAAAGGGUGCGUAGGUGGGCUAGUAAGUCCGUGGUGAAAUCUCUGAGCUUAACUCGGAAACUGCCGUGGAUACUAUUAGUCUUGAAUCUCGUGGAGGUAAGCGGAAUAUGUCAUGUAGCGGUGAAAUGCUUAGAUAUGACAUAGAACACCGAUAGCGAAGGCAGCUUGCUACACGAGUAUUGACACUGAGGCACGAAAGCGUGGGGAUCAAACAGG
rnacentral:rRNA from 1 species